GACGAACGCUGGCGGCGUGCUUAACACAUGCAAGUCGAACGCUGAAGCUCAGCUUGCUGGGUGGAUGAGUGGCGAACGGGUGAGUAACACGUGAGUAACCUGCCCUCUUCUUUGGGAUAACGCCCGGAAACGGGUGCUAAUACUGGAUAUUCACUGAUUCUCGCCUGGGGGUUGGUGGAAAGGUUUUUUCUGGUGGGGGGUGGGCUCGCGGCCUAUCAGCUUGUUGGUGGGGUGAUGGCCUACCAAGGCUUUGACGGGUAGCCGGCCUGAGAGGGUGACCGGUCACAUUGGGACUGAGAUACGGCCCAGACUCCUACGGGAGGCAGCAGUGGGGAAUAUUGCACAAUGGGCGAAAGCCUGAUGCAGCGACGCCGCGUGAGGGAUGGAGGCCUGCGGGUUGUAAACCUCUUUCGCUCAUGGUCAAGCCGCAGCUUUGGGUUGUGGUGAGGGUAGUGGGUAAAGAAGCGCCGGCUAACUACGUG
rnacentral:rRNA from 1 species